rnacentral:rRNA from 1 species
AUUGAACGCUGGCGGCAUGCUUUACACAUGCAAGUCGAACGGGCGUAGCAAUACGUCAGUGGCAGACGGGUGAGUAACGCGUGGGAACAUACCUCUUGGUUCGGAACAACACAGGGAAACUUGUGCUAAUACCGGAUAAGCCCUUACGGGGAAGGAUUUAUCGCCGAGAGAUUGGCCCGCGUCUGAUUAGCUAGUUGGUAGGGUAAUGGCCUACCAAGGCGACGAUCAGUAGCUGGUCUGAGAGGAUGAUCAGCCACAUUGGGACUGAGACACGGCCCAAACUCCUACGGGAGGCAGCAGUGGGGAAUAUUGGACAAUGGGCGCAAGCCUGAUCCAGCCAUGCCGCGUGAGUGAUGAAGGCCCUAGGGUUGUAAAGCACUUUCAGUGGGGAGAAAGGUUGUUCACCUAAUACGUGAAUGAAUUGAUGUUACCCACAGAAGAAGCACCGGCUAACUUCGUGCCAGCAGCCGCGGUAAU